AUGGCCAGCCUUGCUGAAAAAUAUGACUACCUGGAGAAACUGACGCGCAAGACGUGUGCAGCUCAGAACCACGAUCUCAGAAAAACAGACAACGUGCAAUUUAGAGGCACUGCUGGGAAAGCAGGUGCACUGAAAAAGAAGGAGAAAAACAAACAAGUGGCCAAAAUGAACAGAGUUUCUGCAAAGAAUGGGAAAGCAAGAGCAAAGAGUAUUCAGAGAGCUGCAGCCAACACAGCGAAGGCCCAACCUGGUGGUAUACUACAGUGUGCAGCAAACGUCAAAAUCCAGAAUGACAGCACCACGGAAGCACAACCAAAAACAGGAGGUGGGACAUUGCAGGCUGAAUUUUCUGCAAUAGAUAUAUUACGUCAGAGACUUCACCAGAAAAUUGAAGAAUCUCGUGGACAGGGACCUGGUAAAGACUCAGAGGAAGUCAGAAGACGACGUGAGAAACGGAAGCAAGAGAGGGAACGUAAAAAGCGGAAGAAAAAAGAGUUCCUUAUGAAGAAGCUAGCAGAGAAAACCGCAGAGGAAAGCACAGAGGAGGAGAAGAAAUGUGUACCUGCUCCUCAGCCUGUCCCCUCAGCAGACAAACCAGGCAAAGAUAAGAUCUCCCUGGUCUUCAACAAGGUGGAGGUGGGUGAGGAGUACAAGGACAAAGAAACAAAAGUAAAGGAGAAAAAGAAACGGCGAGUGAAAGGGAGUUUUACUCCUCUGACAGGGCGGAAUUAUAAACAGCUCCUGACACGCAUGGAGCAGAGGAAAGCUCGCGUGGAGGAGCUGAAAGAGAAAGAUGAGGGAAAAGCCAAAAGGGAGGAGGAGAAGAUGAGAUGGUCCAAUGUACUGUACAAGGCAGAAGGUCUGAAGAUCAAAGACAAUGAGGAUCUGCUGAGAGCCUCACUGAAACGAAAAGAAAAAAGAAAGGAGCAGAGGAAAAAGAAAUGGACUCAACGGAGUCAGCAGGUUGUGGAGAAGAUGCAGCAGAGACAGGAUAAGAGACGCAGAAACAUCCAAAAACGCAAACAGAACAAGCUGGAGAAGCGCAAACAGAAGGCGCGGAAGAGAGGCCGUGUUUUACCAGAGGAUCUGAAAAAGGUUGCAAUGUAGAGAGAGGGAGGAUAUAAAAGAAAAACAAUGUGAAAAAGAUAGAGGAGGAUCUAGUCGCAGGAUGAGAAGUCUGUGGUUGUUUUGGGUGCUUUUUGGGGUUCUGUCCUCAGACAUGGAAGCACUGAUUAUGAAUGGGUUCCUGGUAAAGGGAUAUGAUCUGUGUUCCUUGUUCACACUAGGAUUUUAGACUUACUGUUAUUCCAGGAGAAGGAAUGAAUGAACAGAUGAGCCUGUCCCUGCCAUACAUGGGAAACUUGUGGACAUUCUUGUACAUUUCAGAGUAUACAUUAAAGUACAAUUCGUGAUU